UACGUAGGGUGCAAGCGUUGUCCGGAAUUAUUGGGCGUAAAGAGCUCGUAGGCGGUUUGUCGCGUCGAAUGUGAAAACCCGGGGCUCAACCCCGGGCCUGCAUUCGAUACGGGCAGACUAGAGUUCGGUAGGGGAGUCUGGAAUUCCUGGUGUAGCGGUGAAAUGCGCAGAUAUCAGGAGGAACACCGAUGGCGAAGGCAGGUCUCUGGGCAUUAACUGACGCUGAGGAGCGAAAGCGUGGGGAGCGAACAGG
rnacentral:rRNA from 1 species